GGCAGCCGCACUUUGCAACGUCGAAAGACAGCAGGGUGAGGAAAGUCCGGGCUCCACGGAUAAGCGGUGCCGGAUAACGUCCGGCGGGGGCGACCCCAGGGAAAGUGCCACAGAAAGCAAACCGCCCCGCCACCUGAUCGCCGGAUCCGAUUCCAGGAUCGAGCGGCAAUGAGGCGGCGGGGUAAGGGUGAAAGGGUGGGGUAAGAGCCCACCGCGCGACCGGCAACGGAAGCGGCACGGUAAACCCCACCGGGAGCAAAACCGAAUAGGGAUGACGCAGGGCGAAAGCCCGGCCCUUUUUCCGGGGUUGAUCAUCCGGGUAGGUUGCUU
rnacentral:RNase_P_RNA from 1 species